rnacentral:rRNA from 1 species
GACGAACGCUGGCGGCGUGCCUAAUACAUGCAAGUAGAACGCUGAAGCUUGGUGCUUGCACCGAGCGGAUGAGUUGCGAACGGGUGAGUAACGCGUAGGUAACCUGCCUGGUAGCGGGGGAUAACUAUUGGAAACGAUAGCUAAUACCGCAUAACAGUAGAUAUCGCAUGAUAGCUACUUGAAAGGUGCAAAUGCACCACUACCAGAUGGACCUGCGUUGUAUUAGCUAGUUGGUGAGGUAACGGCUCACCAAGGCAACGAUACAUAGCCGACCUGAGAGGGUGAUCGGCCACACUGGGACUGAGACACGGCCCAGACUCCUACGGGAGGCAGCAGUAGGGAAUCUUCGGCAAUGGACGGAAGUCUGACCGAGCAACGCCGCGUGAGUGGAGAAGGUUUUCGGAUCGUAAAGCUCUGUUGUAAGAGAAGAACGAGUGUGAGAGUGGAAAGUUCACACUGUGACGGUAUCUUACCAGAAAGGGACGGCUAACUACGUG